GAACGUUUGGCAAGAAAUGUAAUCUACCACAUUUGUUAUUUUGAAAUCCUUGUUCAAGGAACUUGAAAGUGGUCUUAUCUAUUUCGUUAGUGAGAUGAAAAUUUUUUACAAGUGCUUGAACAUCUCUCUGGAUCAUGUGUGUGUUUGGGGCUUCAAUUUUUUCGUAAUGUAUGCUAUCGAUAUGCAUUAGACCUUGGGAUAUGUAUGUAUCGCUUUUAAGUAUAACUAUAUUAUUGUUCUUAUCAGCUUUUUUUAUGACAAUGUCAGCC
rnacentral:lncRNA from 1 species